rnacentral:rRNA from 1 species
UACGUAGGGUCCGAGCGUUGUCCGGAAUUACUGGGCGUAAAGAGCUCGUAGGUGGUUUGUCGCGUUGUUCGUGAAAACUCACAGCUUAACUGUGGGCGUGCGGGCGAUACGGGCAGACUGGAGUACUGCAGGGGAGACUGGAAUUCCUGGUGUAGCGGUGAAAUGCGCAGAUAUCAGGAGGAACACCGGUGGCGAAGGCGGGUCUCUGGGCCGAUAUUGACGCUGAGGAGCGAAAGCGUGGGGAGCGAACAGG